UAUCCCCCAAACCAAGGGGGGAUCAGAACCACCGACCGGGGUUCGACAACUGGCGCAGCCAGUUGGACAGACGACGAGCUUGCGAGGAGACUGCCCGAAGGGCGAGCGCAGCGAGUCAAUCCCCCCCUCACCGCCA
rnacentral:sRNA from 1 species